AUACAUAGGGGGCGAGCGUUGUCCGGAAUGACUGGGCGUAAAGGGCGAGUAGGCGGAGAUGUAAGUCUGGAGUGAAAUUACCGAAUUCAAUGUGGGAAUUGCUUUGGAUACUGCAGUGCUAGAGUGCGGAAGAGGUAAGUGGAAUUUCCAGUGUAGCGGUGAAAUGCGUAGAUAUCGGGAAGAACACCGGUGGCGAAGGCGCCUUUCUGGACUGUGUAUGACGCUCAGAUGCGAAAGCCAGGGUAGGGAACGGGAUUAGAUACCCCGGUAGUCCUGGCCGUAAACGAUGGGUACUAGGUGUGGGAGGUAUCGACUCCUUCCGUGCCGGAGUUAACGCAAUAAGUCCCCCGCCUGGGGAGUACGGCCGCAAGGCUUAAACUCAAAGGAAUUGACGGGG
rnacentral:rRNA from 1 species